GCCCACUUGAUACUCGCUGGUUGCGAUCACAGCAAGCGGCUUAGCGAAAGCGUUAAGUAAUCCACCUGGGGAGUACGUUCGCAAGAAUGAAACUCAAAGGAAUUGACGGGGGCCCGCACAAGCGGAGGAACAUGUGGUUUAAUUCGAUGAUACGCGAGGAACCUUACCCGGGCUUGAAAUGCAUCUGACCGGCACAGAGACGUGCCUUCCCUUCGGGGCAGAUGUGUAGGUGCUGCAUGGUUGUCGUCAGCUCGUGCCGUGAGGUGUCGGCUUAAGUGCCAUAACGAGCGCAACCCUCAUUGUUAGUUACCAUCAGGUUAAGCUGGGGACUCUAACGAGACUGCCAUCGUAAGAUGUGAGGAAGGUGGGGAUGACGUCAAAUCAGCACGGCCCUUACGUCCGGGGCGACACACGUGUUACAAUGGGUGGUACAAAGGGCAGCUACAUGGCGACGUGAUGCUAAUCCCUAAAACCACUCUCAGUUCGGAUCGAAGUCUGCAACUCGACUUCGUGAAGCUGGAUUCGCUAGUAAUCGCGCAUCAGCCACGGCGCGGUGAAUACGUUCCCGGGCCUUGUACACACCGCCCGUCAAGCCAUGGAAGCUGGGGGUACCUGAAGUCCGUAACCGUAAGGAGCGGCCUAGGGUAAAACUAGUGACUGGGGCUAAGUCGUAACAAGGUACCAAUCCCGCGGCCA
rnacentral:rRNA from 1 species